rnacentral:lncRNA from 10 species
GAGAUUUUGUCCUUUGUCUUCAGCUACCAGAGCAGGGGCCUGCAACAGCAAUCUGCCUCCUUCAAAGGGUCUGUGGAUCCUCUUGGCUUUCCCGGUAUGUUCCUGUGGUAGUUCUUGGAGCAAAAGUUCACGAUGUGAGUCUCCACACACUGCUCUGUCCACUGGAGUGGGAGCUGCAAGUUAGUCCUGCCUCCAAUCUGCCAUUUUCCCCCACCUGAUCCAUCAUUCUAUUCUCUUUGUCUGAUGGCGGCUCCCCCUUUGCUUUCUACCAUGAUUGGAAGCUUCCUGAGGCCUCCCCAGAAGCAGAAGCCACUAUACUUCCUGUACAGCCUGAAGAACCGAGCAACCUGAGAGGAUCCCAUGCCGGGACAGGUGUGACUACAACAGAAUGAGAGCAAGAGAGAGUGACAGCAGAUGAAGUCUGAGAAUUAGCCAACAGCUA